rnacentral:rRNA from 1 species
CCUACGGGAGGCAGCAGUGAGGAAUAUUGGUCAAUGGACGCAAGUCUGAACCAGCCAUGCCGCGUGCAGGAAGACGGCUCUAUGAGUUGUAAACUGCUUUUGUACGAGGGUAAACGCAGAUACGCGUAUCUGUCUGAAAGUAUCGUACGAAUAAGGAUCGGCUAACUCCGUGCCAGCAGCCGCGGUAAUACGGAGGAUUCAAGCGUUAUCCGGAUUUAUUGGGGUUAAAGGGUGCGUAGGCGGUCGGAUAAGUUAGAGGUGAAAUCCCGAGGCUCAACGUCGGAAUUGCCGCUGAUACUGUUCGGCUAGAGAGUAGUUGCGGUAGGCGGAAUGUACGGUGUAGCGGUGAAAUGCUUAGAGAUCAUACAGAACACCGAUUGCGAAGGCAGCUUACCAAGCUACUUCUGACGUUGAGGCACGAAAGCGUGGGGAGCGAACAGGAUUAGAUACCCCAGUAGUC